UACAGAGGUGGCAAGCGUUGUUCGGAAUUACUGGGCGUAAAGGGCGCGUAGGCGGCCUUCUAAGUCAGACGUGAAAUCCCCGGGCUCAACCUGGGAACUGCAUUUGUGACUGUAGAGCUGGAGUACGGCAGAGGGGGAUGGAAUUCCGCGUGUAGCAGUGAAAUGCGUAGAUAUGCGGAGGAACACCGAUGGCGAAGGCAAUCCCCUGGGCCUGUACUGACGCUCAUGCACGAAAGCGUGGGGAGCAAACAGG
rnacentral:rRNA from 1 species